rnacentral:rRNA from 1 species
CAGUAGCCGCGGUAAUACGAAGGGGGCUAGCGUUGCUCGGAAUUACUGGGCGUAAAGGGCGCGUAGGCGGACAGUUCAGUCGGGGGUGAAAGCCCGGGGCUCAACCUCGGAAUUGCCUUCGAUACUGGCUGUCUUGAGUAUGAGAGAGGUGUGUGGAACUCCGAGUGUAGAGGUGAAAUUCGUAGAUAUUCGGAAGAACACCAGUGGCGAAGGCGACACACUGGCUCAUUACUGACGCUGAGGCGCGAAAGCGUGGGGAGCAAACAGGAUUAGAUACCCGCGUAGUCCCUGUCUCUUAUAA